UCAAGCCAGUGGGUCGAGCUUGAUGAUUCUUCAUCAAAAACUGGUUCUGCUUUUCAGCGAGAAGUAGAAUAGAAAUCAAAUCCAAAAAUUUAGUGAACUAUUGUGCCCUAUAUUGUUGCUGCAGGACAACAUUAGUUGCAUUGAAGGUUGAAUAAGCCUUCUCUAAGAGAUCAUGUUCGGUUAAGUCUUCUUUACAGAACUUGAGUAAUGAUCGGAUUCUACAAACUUCAUAGUUGUAUUCAUUCACAAACUUAAAGUCUUGGAAGCAUAAAUGUUGCCAUUCUUAUCUUGCUUCAGGCAAGAAAAUAUCUUUCUGUUGAUUGAAGCGAUUCUCCAAAGCAAGCCAGAAGGUACGUGGAUCCUCCUCUGUGAGGUGCUCGGUCUACAGUGCAUCGUAGAUGUGUCUUCGAAUGAAGAUCAUAGCAAUAGCUUUCUGAGUUUCGUCGAUGGGUUCAUCGUUGAUUGGUUCCUUGAUAGUAACUCUAAGACUCUUUGCAGUAAGGUGAAGCUUCAUAUCUAGAACCCACUUCAGGUAGUUUCUUCCAGAGACUUCCAUAGUGGUGAAAUUAAGCUUGUUUAAGUUCGACAUGUCCCUAAACAGAAGGUAUAACAAAACGUGGUUAGUCAUUUGGAAAGCCAUAGACAUAUAUUGUAGAACAUUCAGGUUAUAGACAUGUAGGUUUAAUUUAAGCAUCAAAGCUACAUGUUUCAUGUGGUAAGUUUUGAACGAAAACUUCGGAUUUCAAAGGCACUAAAGUCGAAGCUACAGGUUCGAUUUAGUUAUGAACGUUCAGUUCAUAUAUAAAGGUACUUGCAAGAACACAUAAUACAAUAUAUAAUAAAGUGUAGUGGAUUUGUGGAUUGCUUCAGGAACCCAAGUGUGAGUGCUUUGAGAUUAUGAAAGAUAGUCAACGAUUCAAAGAAAUGAAAUAAUAUGUUGAAUCGUUAAUUGACAAAAAGUGAGCUUUAUGCCAGUAAUUUUGGAUUAAUUUUUAGAUUAAUGGACUGAUGGUCACUUUAAUUAAUUCAAUAAAUUGGGACCAUUCGGCGUUGAUCGUAGAAGCAAAAAUAAUUAUAACAUUUGAGUUAAAAUUAUUUAAAAUGUCAAAAAUUAGCAUUGGAUUCGAAAAACCAUAGUCUAAUAACAUUGGGCUU
rnacentral:lncRNA from 1 species